rnacentral:rRNA from 1 species
UCUGGUGAUCAUUUGCCGGAGGAUACACCCGUUCCCAUUUCGAACACGGCCGUUAAGCUCCGAUCAGCCAAUGGUAGUAGAACGUAAGGUUCUGCGAGAGUAGGUUAUUGCCAGAU